rnacentral:tRNA from 1 species
GUGCCCAUAACUCAGUUGGUUAGAGUAGCAUCCUCAUAAGAUGAAGGUCGAUGAUUCAAGUUCAUCUGGGCGCACCA